AGGAAUUGGCGGGGGAGCACCACAAGGGGUGAAGCCUGCGGUUCAAUUGGAGUCAACGCCGGAAAUCUUACCGGGGGCGACAGCAGUGUGAAGGUCAAGCUGAAGACUUUACUCGACAAGCUGAGAGGAGGUGCAUGGCCGUCGCCAGCUCGUGCCGUGAGGUGUCCUGUUAAGUCAGGUAACGAGCGAGAUCCCUGCCUCUAGUUGCUACCAUUAUUCUCAGGAGUAGUGGAGCUAAUUAGAGGGACCGCCGUCGCUGAGACGGAGGAAGGUGGGGGCUACGGCAGGCCAGUAUGCCCCGAAACCCUCGGGCCACACGCGGGCUGCAAUGGUAAGGACAAUGAGUUUCGAUUCCGAAAGGAGGAGGCAAUCUCUAAACCUUACCACAGUUAUGAUUGAGGGCUGAAACUCGCCCUCAUGAAUAUGGAAUCCCUAGUAACCGCGUGUCACUAUCGCGCGGUGAAUACGUCCCUGCUCCUUGCACACACCGCCCGUC
rnacentral:rRNA from 1 species